rnacentral:rRNA from 1 species
GACGAACGCUGGCGGCGUGCCUAAUACAUGCCAGUCGAGCGAACAGACCAGGAGCUUGUUCCUCUGACGUUUGCGGCACACGUGUGUGAAACAUGUGUAUAACCCACCUAUAAGACUGGGAUAAUCUCGGGACACCGGAUCUAACCCCAUAUAAUCUACUGAACCGUAUUGUUCAAUAGUGAAAUUCGGCUUUGCUGUCACUUAUAGAUGCAUCCGCGCCGUAUUAUCUUGUUGUUACGGUAACGGCUUUCCAAGGCAACGAUGCGUAGCCGACUUGAGAGGGUGAUCGGCCACACUGGAAGUGGGACAGGGACCAGACUCCUACGGGAGGCAGCAGUAGGGAAUCUUCCGCAAUAGGCGAAAGCCUGACGGAGCAACGCCGCGUGAGUGAUGAAGGUCUUCGGAUCGUAAAACUCUGUUAUUAGGGAAGAACAAAUGUGUAAGUAACUAUGCACGUCUUGACGGUACCUAAUCAGAAAGCCACGGCUAACUACGUG